CAAUAGCAUAUAUUAACGUUGUUGCAGUUGAAAAGCUCGUAGUUGAACUUUUGGUAGGAGCGACCUGGCCUUGGGCGCAUGCCCUUGUUUGCCGUGUGUCGUAUCUGGCCAUCCUUUUCCGUUUCGGCGGGAAUCUUUUACUGUGAGUAAACUGGAGUGCUCAAAACAAGACGUUUGUUUGGUACAUUAAAGCAUGGAAUAAUAAGAUAGGACCUGGUUACUAUUUUGUUGGUUUGCAUAGCUAGGUAAUGAUUAACAGGGACAGUUGGGGGUAUUCGUAUUUAAUUGUCAGAGGUGAAAUUCUUGGAUUUAUGAAAGACGAACGACUGCAAAAGCAUUUACCAAGGAUGUUUUCAUUAA
rnacentral:rRNA from 1 species